AGUGAACGCUGGCGGUAGGCCUAACACAUGCAAGUCGAACGGCAGCACAGUAAGAGCUUGCUCUUACGGGUGGCGAGUGGCGGGCGGGUGAGGAAUACAUCGGAAUCUACUUUUUCGUGGGGGAUAACGUAGGGAAACUUACGCUAAUACCGCAUACGACCUACGGGUGAAAGCAGGGGAUCUUCGGACCUUGCGCGAUUGAAUGAGCCGAUGUCGGAUUAGCUAGUUGGCGAGGUAAAGGCCCACCAAGGCGACGAUCCGUAGCUGGUCUGAGAGGAUGAUCAGCCACACUGGAACUGAGACACGGUCCAGACUCCUACGGGAGGCAGCAGUGGGGAAUAUUGGACAAUGGGCGCAAGCCUGAUCCAGCCAUACCGCGUGGGUGAAGAAGGCCUUCGGGUUGUAAAGCCCUUUUGUUGGGAAAGAAAAGCAGCAGGUUAAUACCCCGCUGUUCUGACGGUACCCAAAGAAUAAGCACCGGCUAACUUCGUG
rnacentral:rRNA from 1 species